rnacentral:misc_RNA from 1 species
CUGAAAUUAGGCAAAAAAAAUUAUCCUAUAUAUGAUUAUUGUUUCUUGCUGUUUGAUCUACUCCAAGAUCAGUUCUUGAUUAACAAGUAAAGCGGUAAGGAGCAAAUACUGAAAAUGGCAGACUCCAGCAACAAAGAUAAAGAGGGAGAAAAUAUGAAAAAAAAAAAAAAUUGUAGUUCUCAUGUGCUCCUUUUCUAUCUACAAUUCGUCAUACGGUUCUUCAUCUUUAGAAUCAGUUGAGCUUCCACCACUCUUUUCAUACACUUGCUUUAUGACUGGAUUACAAACUUCUUCCACCUCCUUCAACUUCUCUUCAUAAUCAUCCUUUUCUGCAUUUUGGUUAUCAUCUAACCAGUCAAGAGCUUCCUUCAAUGUGUUCUCAAUCUUUCCCUUAUCAUCAGAAUCAAUCUUAUCAGCAAGCUUAUCUUUGUCUCCAACAGUACUCCUCAUGUUGUAAAUGUAUGUCUCCAACUUGUUCCUCGCAUUGAUCUUCUCCUUCACCUUCUGAUCCUCCUCCGCCAUUUCCUCAGCCUCCUUUAUCAUCCUAUCGAUCUCUUCUUGGCUCAGACGCCCUUUAUCGUUGGUGAUGGUGAUAGAUUGGGAUUUCUUUGCUGCCUUGUCUUCAGCCUUCACAUGUAGGAUGCCAUUGGCAUCAACUUCAAAGGUUACCUCAAUCUGGGGUACUCCUCUUGGAGCUGGUGGAAUUCCUGAUAGCUCAAAUCUUCCGAGCUCACGACAGUCCUUCGUCAAGCUUCUUUCACCUUCGUAGACCUUAACAGAAACUGUGGUUUGCUGGUCUUGAGUAGUGGUGAAGAUUUGAGACUUUUUAGUUGGGAUGACUGUGUUUCUUGGGAUCAAUUUUGUCAUGACUCCACCAACUGUUUCAAUACCAAGACUCAGGGGAAUAACAUCAAGCAAAAGAAGACCCUUUGUUUCUUCCCCGCCUUCACCGCUUAGAAUUCCUCCUUGAACUGCAGCACCAUAGGCAACAGCUUCAUCUGGAUUGAUGCCCUUAUUAGGCUCCUUUCCAUCAAACAUAUCCUUCAACAAUUCUUGAACUUUAGGAACUCUAGUACUUCCUCCCACAAGCACAAUCUCAUUGAUAUCAGACUUCUUUAGACCUGCAUCUUCCAAAGCCUUCUUCACCGGCCCCAUUGUCUUUUUAAACAAGUCCAUGUUCAGUUCUUCAAAUCUUGCCCUUGUCAAUGGCUCUGAAAAAUCAAUACCAUCAAAAAGCGAUUCAAUCUCAACUCGAAUUUGGUGCUGGUUGCUCAGUGCUCUCUUAGCUCUCUCACAUUCUCUUCGAAGUUUCCCAAUAGCCCUUUUAUCUUUGCUGAUAUCUUUGUUGUACUUUUUUUUAAUCAACUUAAUGAAAUACUCCAUAACUCUCCGGUCAAAGUCCUCUCCUCCCAAGUGGGUGUCACCACUGGUAGAAAGAACCUCAAAAACACCAUUAUCA